rnacentral:rRNA from 1 species
UACGGGGGGAGCAAGCGUUGUUCGGAUUUACUGGGCGUAAAGGGCGCGUAGGCGGCUUUGCAAGUGACGGGUGAAAUCCCACGGCUUAACCGUGGAACUGCCUGUCAGACUGCAUGGCUUGAGACCAGGAGAGGUGAGUGGAAUUCCCAGUGUAGCGGUGAAAUGCGUAGAUAUUGGGAGGAACACCAGUGGCGAAGGCGGCUCACUGGACUGGUACUGACGCUGAGGCGCGAAAGCGUGGGGAGCAAACAGG